rnacentral:rRNA from 1 species
UGGGGAAUAUUGCACAAUGGGGGAAAUCCUGAUGCAGCAACGCCGCGUGAGUGGUGACGGCCUUCGGGUUGUAAAGCUCUGUCUUCAGGGACGAUAAUGACGGUACCUGAGGAGGAAGCCACGGCUAACUACGUGCCAGCAGCCGCGGUAAUACGUAGGUGGCAAGCGUUGUCCGGAUUUACUGGGCGUAAAGGGAGCGUAGGCGGACUUUUAAGUGAGAUGUGAAAUACCCGGGCUCAACCUGGGUGCUGCAUUUCAAACUGGAAGUCUAGAGUGCAGGAGAGGAGAGUGGAAUUCCUAAUGUAGCGGUGAAAUGCGUAGAGAUUAGGAAGAACACCAGUGGCGAAGGCGAUUCUCUGGACCGUAACUGACGCUGAGGCAUGAAAGCGUGGGUAGCAAACA